GGUCAAGUUAUUAAGGGUGCAGGGCGGAUGCCUUGGCACUAGGAGCCGAUGAAGGACGUGAUAAGCUGCGAUAAGCUUCGGGGAGUUGCACGUAAACUUUGAUCCGAAGAUUUCCGAAUGAGGAAACUCACUUAGAGUAAUGUCUAAGUAUCAUUAAGUGAAUACAUAGCUUAAUGAGGGGAACUCAGGGAACUGAAACAUCUAAGUACCUGAAGGAAGAGAAAGAAAUUCGAUUCCGUAAGUAGCGGCGAGCGAACGCGGAUUAGCCCAAACCAAUAAAGUUUUCUUUAUUGGGGUUGCGGACAUAUCAUAACGAAGAGGUAUCGUAAUUGAAGAGGUUUGGAAAGACCCACCACAGAAGGUAAUAGUCCUGUAUGUUAAACGAGAAGACUUCAGAUAUGAUCCAGAGUACCACGGGACACGUGAAACCCUGUGGGAAGCAGGAGGGACCACCCUCCAAGGCUAAAUACUACCUAGUGACCGAUAGCGUAUAGUACCGUGAGGGAAAGGUGAAAAGAACCCCGGGAGGGGAGUGAAAUAGAACCUGAAACCCUGCACUUACAAGCUGUGGAAGCACAUUUCUUGUGUGACCGCGUACUUUUUGUAGAACGGGCCAACGAGUUACGUUAAGUAGCAAGGUUAAGCACUUAAGGUGUGGAGCCGUAGCGAAAGCGAGUUUUAACUGAGCGUUCAGUUACUUGACGUAGACCCGAAACCGGGCGACCUACCCAUGAGCAGGAUGAAGCGAAAGUAAAAUUUCGUGGAGGUCCGAACCCACGAGCGUUGAAAAGCUCGGGGAUGACUUGUGGGUAGCGGUGAAAUUCCAAUCGAGCCCGGAGAUAGCUGGUUCUCCCCGAAAUAGCUUUAGGGCUAGCCUCAAGGUGAGAGAUACGGAGGUAGAGCACUGAAUGUCCUAGGGGGUAUUGCACCUACCGAAGACUAUCAAACUCCGAAUGCCGUCAUCUUAUACUUGGGAGUCAGACUGUGGGUGAUAAGAUUCAUAGUCGAAAGGGCAACAGCCCAGAUCGUCAGCUAAGGUCCCUAAAUGUAAGUUAAGUGGUAAAGGAUGUGGGAUUGCACAGACAACCAGGAUGUUGGCUUAGAAGCAGCCACUCAUUCAAAGAGUGCGUAAUAGCUCACUGGUCGAGUGAUCCUGCGCCGAAGAUUUCCGGGGCUAAAACUUACUACCGAAGCUACGGCAUCAGUAAUGAUGGGUAGGGGAGCUUCCCAUACGGGUUGAAGCAUGACCGUAAGGACAUGUGGACAGUAUGGGAGUGAGAAUGUUGGCAUGAGUAGCGAGAUGUGGGUGAGAAUCCCACAGGCCGUAAACCCAAGGUUUCCAGGGGAAGGUUCGUCCGCCCUGGGUUAGUCGGGACCUAAGCUGAGGCCGAAAGGCGUAGGUGAUGGACAACAGGUUGAUAUUCCUGUACUACCGAUAACCGUUUGAGAGAAGGGAUGACACAGUAGGAUAAGCUAAGCACACUGUUGGUUAUGUGUGCCCAAGCAUUGAGGCAGUCAAAGUAGGCAAAUCCGCUUUGAUAAUGCUGGGAUGUGAUGGGGAGCGAAAUUUAGUAGCGAAGUAGCUGAUUUCACACUGUCAAGAAAAGUCUCUAUCGAGGUUAAAGGUACCCGUACCGCAAACCGACACAGGUGGGUGAGGAGAGUAUCCUAAGGCCAGCGAGAGAACUGUUGUUAAGGAACUCGGCAAAAUGACCCCGUAACUUAGGGAUAAGGGGUGCCACCAUCAGGUGGCCGCAGAGAAUAGGCCCAAGCGACUGUUUACCAAAAACAUAGGUUUCUGCUAAGUCGCAAGACGAUGUAUAGGAGCUGACGCCUGCCCGGUGCUGGAAGGUUAAGGGGAUCUGUUAGAGCAAUCGAAGCAGUGAACUUAAGCCCCAGUAAACGGCGGCCGUAACUAUAACGGUCCUAAGGUAGCGAAAUUCCUUGUCGGGUAAGUUCCGACCCGCACGAAAGGCGUAACGAUUUGGGCACUGUCUCAACAACAGACUCGGUGAAAUUGUAAUUCCGGUGAAGAUGCCGGAUACCUGCGACAGGACGGAAAGACCCCAUGGAGCUUUACUGUAGCUUGACAUUGGGUUUUGGUACUACAUGUACAGGAUAGGUGGGAGGCUUUGAUAACCAGGACGCCAGUUUUGGCGGAGCCAUCCUUGGGAUACCACCCUUGUAGUACUGGGACUCUAACCAUAGGCCAUGAAUCUGGUCUUGGGACACUGUCAGGUGGGCAGUUUGACUGGGGCGGUCGCCUCCCAAAAGGUAACGGAGGCGCUCAAAGGUUCUCUCAGUACGGUCGGAAAUCGUACGUAGAGUGUAAAGGCAAAAGAGAGCUUGAUUGCAAGACAUACAGGUCGAGCAAGGAUGAAAAUCGGACUUAGUGAUCCGGUGGUUCUGCGUGGAAGGGCCAUCGCUCAACGGAUAAAAGCUACCCUGGGGAUAACAGGCUUAUCUCCCCCAAGAGUCCACAUCGACGGGGAGGUUUGGCACCUCGAUGUCGGCUCAUCACAUCCUGGGGCUGUAGUAGGUCCCAAGGGUUGGGCUGUUCGCCCAUUAAAGUGGUACGCGAGCUGGGUUCAGAACGUCGUGAGACAGUUCGGUCCCUAUCCGUCGCAGGCGUAGGAAAUUUGAGAAGACCUGUCCUUAGUACGAGAGGACCGGGAUGGACGUACCUCUGGUGUACCAGUUGUUCUGCCAAGGGCAUGGCUGGGUAGCUAUGUACGGAAUGGAUAAGCGCUGAAAGCAUCUAAGCGCGAAGCCAACUUCAAGAUAAGAUUUCCCACCGUAAGGGUAAGACCCCAGAAAGACUAUCUGGUUGAUAGGUCGAAGGUGUAAGUGCAGCAAUGUAUUUAGCUUAUCGAUACUAAUAGGUCGAGGACUUGACCAA
rnacentral:rRNA from 1 species